GGCCAGCGUGGCAUAGUGGUUUAAGUGUUUGGCUGUGACUCUAGAGACCAGGGUUCAGUUCCCUGCUUGGCCA